rnacentral:rRNA from 1 species
GGGGAAUAUUGCACAAUGGAGGAAACUCUGAUGCAGCAACGCCGCGUGAAGGAUGAAGGUUUUCGGAUCGUAAACUUCUAUCAGCAGGGAAGAAAACAAUGACAGUACCUGACUAAGAAGCCCCGGCUAACUACGUGCCAGCAGCCGCGGUAAUACGUAGGGGGCAAGCGUUAUCCGGAUUUACUGGGUGUAAAGGGUGCGUAGGUGGCAUGAUAAGUUAGAUGUGAAAACCCAAGGCUCAACUUUGGGAUUGCAUCUAAAACUGUCAAGCUAGAGUGCAGGAGAGGAAAGCGGAAUUCCUAGUGUAGCGGUGAAAUGCGUAGAUAUUAGGAGGAACACCAGUAGCGAAGGCGGCUUUCUGGACUGUAACUGACACUGAGGCACGAAAGCGUGGGUAGCGAAC